rnacentral:rRNA from 1 species
CUAUAAUGCAAGUCGAGCGAGCCGAACUAAUUGAUUACCUUCGGGUAUGAAGUUAGGGAAGCGAGCGGCGGAUGGGUGAGUAACACGUGGGUAACCUACCCUAUAGUCUGGGAUACCACUUGGAAACAGGUGCUAAUACCGGAUAAAAGGAGAGAUCACAUGAUUUCUUUUUGAAAGGCGGCGUAAGCUGUCGCUAAAGGAUGGACCCGCGGUGCAUUAGCUAGUUGGUAAGGUAACGGCUUACCAAGGCAACGAUGCAUAGCCGAGUUGAGAGACUGAUCGGCCACAUUGGGACUGAGACACGGCCCAAACUCCUACGGGAGACAGCAGUAGGGAAUCUUCCACAAUGGACGCAAGUCUGAUGGAGCAACGCCGCGUGAGUGAAGAAGGUUUUCGGAUCGUAAAGCUCUGUUGUUGGUGAAGAAAGAUAGUGAGAGUAACUGCUCAUUAUUUGCCGGUAAUCAACCAGAAAGUCACGGCUAACUACGUGCCAGCAGCCGCGGUAAUACGUAGGUGGCAAGCGUUGUCCGGAUUUAUUGGGCGUAAAGCGAGCGCAGGCGGAAAGAUAAGUCAGAUGUGAAAGCCCUCGGCUUAACCGAGGAAUAGCAUCGGAAACUGUCUUUCUUGAGUGCAGAAGAGGAGAGUGGAACUCCAUGUGUAGCGGUGGAAUGCGUAGAUAUAUGGAAGAACACCAGUGGCGAAGGCGGCUCUCUGGUCUGUAACUGACGCUGAGGCUCGAA